rnacentral:rRNA from 1 species
GACGAACGCUGGCGGCGUGCUUAACACAUGCAAGUCGAACGGAAAGGCCCUGCUUUUGUGGGGUGCUCGAGUGGCGAACGGGUGAGUAACACGUGAGUAACCUGCCCUUGACUUUGGGAUAACUUCAGGAAACUGGGGCUAAUACCGGAUAGGAGCUCCUGCUGCAUGGUGGGGGUUGGAAAGUUUCGGCGGUUGGGGAUGGACUCGCGGCUUAUCAGCUUGUUGGUGGGGUAGUGGCUUACCAAGGCUUUGACGGGUAGCCGGCCUGAGAGGGUGACCGGCCACAUUGGGACUGAGAUACGGCCCAGACUCCUACGGGAGGCAGCGGUGGGGAAUAUUGCACAAUGGGCGGAAGCCUGAUGCAGCAACGCCGCGUGCGGGAUGACGGCCUUCGGGUUGUAAACCGCUUUCGCCUGUGACGAAGCGUGAGUGACGGUAAUGGGUAAAGAAGCACCGACUAACUACGUG